UACGUAGGGUCGAGCGUUGUCCGGAAUUACUGGGCGUAAAGAGCUCGUAGGUGGUUUGUCGCGUUGUUCGUGAAAACUCACAGCUUAACUGUGGGCGUGCGGGCGAUACGGGCAGACUUGAGUACUGCAGGGGAGACUGGAAUUCCUGGUGUAGCGGUGGAAUGCGCAGAUAUCAGGAGGAACACCGGUGGCGAAGGCGGGUCUCUGGGCAGUAACUGACGCUGAGGAGCGAAAGCGUGGGGAGCGAACAGG
rnacentral:rRNA from 1 species